CUUUAGUGGCGGACGGGUGAGUAACGCGUGGGCAACCUGCCCCGUGCCGGGGGAUACCGCCUGGAAACAGGCGCUAAUACCGCAUAAGCGCAUACAGCCGCAUGGCAGUAUGCGGAAAGCUCCGGCGGCACGGGAUGGGCCCGCGCCCGAUUAGCCAGUUGGCGGGGUAACGGCCCACCAAAGCGACGAUCGGUAGCCGGCCUGAGAGGGCGGACGGCCACAUUGGGACUGAGACACGGCCCAAACUCCUACGGGAGGCAGCAG
rnacentral:rRNA from 1 species